AUUGAACGCUGGCGGCAGGCUUAACACAUGCAAGUCGAGCGGAGAUGAGGUGCUUGCACCUUAUCUUAGCGGCGGACGGGUGAGUAAUGCUUAGGAAUCUGCCUAUUAGUGGGGGACAACAUUCCGAAAGGAAUGCUAAUACCGCAUACGCCCUACGAGGGAAAGCAGGGGGUCUUCGGACCUUGCGCUAAUAGAUGAGGCUAAGUGGGAUUAGCUAGUUGGUGGGGUAAAGGCCUACCAAGGCGACGAUCUGUAGCGGGUCUGAGAGGAUGAUCCGCCACACUGGGACUGAGACACGGCCCAGACUCCUACGGGAGGCAGCAGUGGGGAAUAUUGGACAAUGGGCGGAAGCCUGAUCCAGCCAUGCCGCGUGUGUGAAGAAGGCCUUUUGGUUGUAAAGCACUUUAAGCGAGGAGGAGACUACCUGGAUUAAUACUCUAGGAUAGUGGACGUUACUCGCAGAAUAAGCACCGGCUAACUCUGUGCCAGCCGCCGCAGUAAUAC
rnacentral:rRNA from 1 species